rnacentral:tRNA from 1 species
GGAGGGGUGGGUGAGUGGCUGAAACCAACGGUUUGCUAAACCGUCCAUGGGGGUAAACCCCAUGCGCGGGUUCGAAUCCCGCCCCCUCCGCCA